GAAGAACGGCGGACUUGGAGUUAACACCCAAUUACUCCAACCUAGCAAAACACUUUCCCUGACCCCAACAAAGAGAACGACACUAUCUUCAUCUCUAAGGAAAAAUGAGCCACCUACCACAUCUGAGGAGAGACUUCACUCUCUCUUUCACUUGAGAGACAGCCGUUGACCCCUAAACAAAUUUCUUCUCGGAUUUGGAGUUUUCUUCCUCAAAUUUUUCCACUGUUUCCUUGAGAUUAUAUAGAUAAUGGAUGAAAAAGAAAGAGGAGGAUUCUGUUGUUAAGCUAGUUUAUGUUUGAGUUUCUAAAGAUAAAUCCGAACAUAUGCACUUUAAAUUCCUCCAUCCAGUUUUCAUUUUCGAAAUUUGAAGUUGAGGUCGAUUCGAGUCGCGUUCGAAGGCUCCGUUCAAUUUUCCGGUCGAGCUCAAGUCCCUGUUCAUGUUCAUACACCAUCGGCGUAAUUGAAAAGAGACCUACUCAUUGAGCAAGAACAGCUCCAUUUUCAACCGAAAAUCCAGCAGAUCCUAACCAAAAUGGAAUAAAUCAAGUGAAUCUUUCUGUUGAGUCCGGUUGCCGUUCUUUGAGUUUGUCGGCGAGGCUGUCCGGUCGAGUUUUGGAGAAAGAUCCAUGGCCAUUAGUUUUGUUGUAUUGCACCUCCGACAAUAAAGUGCAGAUUACGGAGCAGGCAGUGGCUGAUUGAGAAAUUGGCUUCAGGUUACUAAGUUUGGAGACCCAACGUAGUCUUGCAGGCGUCUGCAGGAACUGGUGUCCCCUUUUAUAUUUCUACAUUUUUGUUUUCUUUCUUUUCAAAAUAGUUGUAAUUUCCUUCAGACCAAUGUUUGUAGAAAAUUCUGGUUUGUUCGUGAGUCGUGACACCGGAUUCUGGGUAAUAAUAGCUAUAAUAUUGGUAG